GACGAACGCUGGCGGCGUGCCUAAUACAUGCAAGUCGAACGCAGUGGGGACGGGUGAGUAACACGUGGGUAACCUCCCAUCAAAUGUGAUAACACUUGGAAACAGGGGCUAAACCGAUACUGAUGGAUCGCACCGCGGUGCUGUAGCUAGUUGGUGGGGUAACGGCUCACCAAGGCCAGGAUGCAUAGCCGAGUCGUGAGGGUUAUCAGCGACACUGGGACUGAGACACGGCCCAGACUCCUCCGGAAGGCAGCAGUAGGGAAUCUUCGACAAUGGACGAAAGUCUUACCGAGCAAUGCCGCGUGAAUGAAGAAGGUUUUCGGAUCGUAAAACUCUGUUGUUAGGGAAGCGGUAUCUAACCAGAAAGCCACGGCUAACUACGUGCCAGCAGCCGCGGUAAUAG
rnacentral:rRNA from 1 species